rnacentral:tRNA from 1 species
GGGUCUGUGGCUCAGUGGCAGAGCAUUGGCUUGGCAUGCAGGAGGUCCCAGGUUCGAUUCCCAACACCUCCA